GCGGCCGUGGUCUAGCCAGGUAUGACGGCGGGGCCCCGAGCCAUGGGCGACGGGUACGCCCGCAAGUCCCGGGUUCAAAUCCCGGCGGCCGCA
rnacentral:tRNA from 1 species